rnacentral:lncRNA from 1 species
CAUAUUUCUCGCACAUAUCGCAGUGUUUAUCAAGAGAUGCGUGUUAAAGGAUUUAAUUUCGCAUAAAGUGCUGUUAGUAAGUGAAGAAAUACAUCCACAUAAAUGGACCCAAACAGUGUCAGUCGUGUGAACUGGACCAUAAACCGCCGGGCGGAGGGUUUAGUAAGUAAACACAUGGCAGACAUGGCACAGAGACGCUCAGCUGUGUCUGAAGAGGACUCUAUGCCAGGAGACCUGAGCAGAAGCGCAGAAGGCAUCCCGGGGCGGGCCGAGGUGAAUUUCAGCGCGGAUUCACAGUCCUUCAAUCCUGCAGGAGUGGCGAGAAAGUUGAUGCGCGAGGACGCGUCUUCAUCAUCAGAGGCAGCAGCCCAUAGACAAAUCAUAUCGCUCCUAAUUGAGAUCAAGGAGGAGCAACAGAGGCAGUGGGAAGUUCUGAAAGACCUGCAGGCCAGGAUUCAUGGACAGGUGUGUGAGGAGGAAGACGAGCCGCUUGACAUAGAUCUGCCACUGCGAACAAUGGAACAGCUCGAUGAAACGGAGCAGCAUUUAGAGGAUGCUGAAGCUCAGAAGAGAAUGGUGUCACACCUCUCACGGAUGGGCGGAACUACGGUAGAUGAUGCGGUCCGGCGUCUUAUGCACGCUGUUCUCUCUUUCAGUGUGGGCUCAGAGCUCAACUGGGUUGGCAGAGGACAGAAAAGGAGCUUCAGAAACACCAGACUGCAGGGUGUUUUAUUUCGUGCCUUGAAGAGGACACCUGUAGGAAAGGAGGCCACACACCAUCAGUUUGCUGAUGUAGUGAAGAAAUGGUUGCGGUUUGCCCCUUUCCGACAAAGAGGAAGUGGACGAAGACCGCAUUGGAAACCUGUUGAGUUCAUCUGUCCCAAAUAUGACAGUACUGUGGAAGAUCAUAACCAGCUUAACCAUAACCAGCUGGAUUCUGGUGAGAUUCAGGUGACA